rnacentral:rRNA from 1 species
UACAGAGGGGGCAAGCGUUGUUCGGAAUUACUGGGCGUAAAGGGCGCGUAGGCGGCCUGUUAAGUCGAACGUGAAAUCCCCGGGCUCAACCCGGGAACUGCGUCCGAUACUGGCAGGCUUGAGUGCGGGAGAGGAUGGUGGAAUUCCCAGUGUAGAGGUGAAAUUCGUAGAUAUUGGGAAGAACACCGGUGGCGAAGGCGGCCAUCUGGACCGCAACUGACGCUGAGGCGCGAAAGCGUGGGGAGCAAACAGG